AUGGGAUUCUGCAGCGGCCCUUCAGAUGUCCAGGUGCUCCCAAAGAACACCUCAUCCUCAUCGUCGCUGUCUUCCUCGUCAUCGGCUGAUAAAGUUUCCGGCGACAGUGGCAAGAACAAGAAACGACAGGGUAUAAAGAAGGAAGAGAGGAAGGAGAAGAAAAGGAGCAAUCUUGACCGGGCUGCGCUCACGACGCCCCACUUCCCUUUUCAUUCUCGCCCCGGUCUUCUGUAA
rnacentral:rRNA from 1 species